AUUGAACGCUGGCGGCAUGCUUUACACAUGCAAGUCGAACGGUAACAGGCCGCAAGGUGCUGACGAGUGGCGAACGGGUGAGUAAUGCAUCGGAACGUGCCCAGUCGUUGGGGAUAACGCAGCGAAAGCUGUGCUAAUACCGCAUACGAUCUAUGGAUGAAAGCGGGGGACCGUAAGGCCUAGCGCGAUCGGAGCGGCCGAUGUCAGAGUCGGUAGUUGGUGGGGUAAAGGCCUACCAAGACGACGAUCUGUAGCUGGUCUGAGAGGACGACCAGCCACACUGGGACUGAGACACGGCCGAUACUCCGACGGGAGGCAGCAGUGGCGAAUUUUGGACAAUGGCCGCAAGCCUGAUCCAGCAAUGCCGCGUGCAGGAAGAAGGCCUUCGGGUUGUAAACUGCUCUUGUACGGAACGAAACGGUCUGGGUUAAUACCCUGGGCUAAUGACGGUACCGUAAGAAUAAGCACCGGCUAACUACGUGCCAGCCGCCGCAGUAA
rnacentral:rRNA from 1 species